GUUUAGACAGUUUUCUUAUCUUCUUCAACUGGACCUCUUUGCUGACUCAUGUCAGCUUUGAGCUCAUAUUAGUCUGUGAACUUUACCUGGCUGAAAUUCAGUUUGGCCUGACUUUGCCAUUCUUGAUUCCACUUUUGAUUCAGACUAAAAUAUAAGGUAAGGCUAUGUUCAAUACAAGAACCUUACAAUCUGAUGAACAUGGACUUACUCAAGGAAGAGAUUUAUCUGCCUCAUGUGAGAAGAAGUCUGGGUUGAAGUAGAUUAGGGCUGGAACAGUAGUUCAAGGAUGCUAUCUGGGAACUGAGCAUUUUUUCUUCCUGCUCUACUGCCCUGAGGAUGACUGAUGUACCUCCAGCAUCAAGCUCAAAUUCUAGUCAAGAAGAAAGAAGCAGCAGAAGAAGCCCAGCCAACUUGGGAUUGUUUCAUUCAUCAGAUCUACCAUUGUCUCUGCUAGCUGCAAAAAAGUCUGGGAAGGAAGAAGCAAAGAAGUCUAAGUUCUUUGGAGUAAGAUGCUCUCAAAUGCCUAGGAACACUGAUCUCCUAACUUGUCUUCCUGCUUUGAGUGUCCCUCUGAGGUUAAAGUUCCUGCCUCAGUCUCCAACAAUGGUCCCUGGCCCUCCCCUUUCCUCUGUGCUCUCAGCAGCUGACCUUGUCUUUUCCUUUACUGAGAGUAGAGGCACCUCUUACAAAUACUCUGGCCUCUGCCUGGACUGACUGGGCUAAAUUGUCUCCGAAGAUGGCCACCAACCAUUCCUCCCACCUGUCUGCAUGCAGGCUGCUCCUCCCGUCAGAAGAUGGAGACUGCUUCCUUGCCCUUCAAUCCAAGCUGGCUCAUGACUUGCUUCAAUGAAUAGGAAAUGGCAGAAGUGAUGCUCUGAGGCUUCUGGGCCUAGACUUUAAGAGGUGUUGCCCCUUUCCUUUUUCCCUCUUGGGAUCCAGCCUACCACAUAGAGAAGUUUGGGUUGACAACUAAAUGUGAGAGAGAGACAGACAGAGAGAAGAGGGAGAGCUGAUUCAGCUAGACCUUAGUCAUUCCAGCCAUCCUAGCUGAAGCACUAGCAUGUGAAAGAAGCCACCUUCUAACCUAUCAAUCAGAGCCCCCAAUUUUACUGACCUCAGUCAACACCAUGUGGAACAGAACUACCCCAGGGAGCCCAACCAACCCAUACAAUCAUGAGAAAUUAAAAACUGAUGUUGUAGCCUCCUGAGUUUUAAGGUAGUUUGUUACACAAAAAUACUGGAAUUUUGACCCACCUUCACCUCCAAUGCCAACCUAGUAAACCUGGAUAUAUCUUUCAAAAUUUGGCUCAAGUGUCAACUCUUUCAUGAACCCUCUGUAUCCUUUUCUUGCUCAUUCAAGCCCUAUUUUCUCUUCUCCUCCCCAAAAUUCCAUAGUACUUUGUAUUACAAACUAUGUGCUUACAACCCCCAAAGUCUCUGGGCAUCCAGAAGGCAGAGAUUUGGCUUAAUUCAUUUUUGCCUCUGCCUAGCCUAACACCCGGCACAUUUAGAUAUUUAGUUAUUGUUUGCUGAAUGAAUGGAUGCAUGAAGAAGAAAAUUUAACAGAUGAUAUCUACAGGCACAUCUGGCUCCAAAAUUGAAUCAUGUCAUCUAGCAAUGCUCAGUAAAGUUAACAUAAGCAAUUUC
rnacentral:lncRNA from 10 species